UCGAUUAUCUCCUUCAUCUUCACCUUCUUCACCAAAUCUAACCCAGAAACCAAUUAUCAGUUAUGAUCGAAACCCCGGAAAUUUUUGGCAGUAAUGAUCGAAAGUGCUUAUAACUGUCAGAAUCAAGCUAUAGUCUCUGUUAACUUUCGAUUUGAAGCUCCUCAAACCACUCUCCGUCCAGUAAAAGCUGUUGAAGAUGUUCAUCGCAGACUCUGUUCUCUAUCAUAUCCAAAAGGUUGGUUCUUCGAUGCAUCAAUUUUGUUUCUGUAAUUUUAAUUGAAGUUGAAGCUGAGGGAUUAUGUUUGUGUAACUCUGCUCAAAGCUGAGAGAUUUUUAUUUAUUUUGGCUCUUUUUUGAAGCCAGCGAUCUUUUUUUUUUUGGGAAAAUGAUUCAGUUAGACAUACAUUAGUUAACAAGACUGACAUUUUUGAUCUAGUAUUACUUGUUUAGCAUUUUAAUUGAUUGUUUGUAUGUCGUGUCAAUACUCCUUUGUGUUUGGUUACUAGUGGCUCUAUUCACAGUUUAGUUGUUUCAAUAUCUUGCAGGAGCUCGAUUAUACGCAAGUGAAGGACCUAAAGACUACAAUCUACUUGCUUACACCUACUUCUCCUCAACUUGAUGUGAAGAAAUCCCAAGAUAUUGUUCGUCCUGAGAGUUUGAGUUUGUUAGCUGAAGGUUAUGAUCGAUGUGUUCAAGUGUGUUCUGAAUAUGCUAAAACUUUUUAUCUUGGUUGGGAUCUUCUUCUUCUUUCAUUGCUGAGUUUUAUGUCCACGACAUAUAUGUCCACAUUUUAUAUAUCCAUAUUUUCUUUGUCCACAAACAAUUAAUCUACAAAAAAUAUUUUGUCAUGAUAAGUUUUUCAUAUCCAAAUUUCUAAAAUAUACUAAAAUGGAUAUUAAAAUGUUGACAACAAAAAGUUAUAAUUUAUUAUGUCUAAUUUAUUUAUUGAUAUACUUUAAUAUGUCAAAAUAAAUCACAUAAAGAAAGAGAGGGUAAUUUAUAAUAGUAAUUUCAAAAAAAUCAAAUAAAUCCAACCCUAUGAUCUAGUUUCAACAAAAUGGACAAUAUAUAUGUCCAACCUUAUGAUUUUUUGUAUCCACAAUAUAUAUGUCCACAUUUUAUUUGUUCACAAACAUUUAAUGGACAAUUUUUUUGUGGAUAUGAUUUUUUAUAUUCAAAAUUUUAAAAUAUAUUAAAACGGAUUUUAAAAUGUAGAAGAAAAAGUUAUAAUUUAUUAUAUUUAAUCUACUUAUUUAUAUACUUUAAUAUGUUAAAAUAAUCACAUAAAGAAAUAUAGGAAAAUUGAUAAUAGUAAUAUAAGAAAAUUAAAAAAUUAUAAU